rnacentral:rRNA from 1 species
UACGGAGGAUGCGAGCGUUAUCCGGAUUUAUUGGGUUUAAAGGGUGCGUAGGCGGGCUUUUAAGUCAGCGGUAAAAAUUCGGGGCUCAACCCCGCCCAGCCGUCGGAACUGCCGGGCUAGAGUGGGCGAGAAGUGCGCGGAAUGCGUGGUGUAGCGGUGAAAUGCAUAGAUAUCACGCAGAACUCCGAUUGCGAAGGCAGCGCACCGGCGCCCUACUGACGCUCAGGCACGAAAGCGUGGGUAUCGAACAGG